AUUCCUCUCCCUCCCCCUCCAGCCCACCCGGUCCGUGCCGCUCCCCGCCCGUCCGGGACUCUCGUCUCCCCGACGCGAGGAGCCCGGGCAGCCAUGGACUCCGGCACGAGACACUCAGGCAAGGUGUUCGACAGAAUGCCCCCGUGCUUGUCGAACCACCGCCACCGCCACUCCAGCCUGGCAGGCCGAACUGCACCCAAGGCCGACCCAGCGUGAGAUUGAGUUGCCUCCAACCUGAACCAGCGCUUGUUUCUUCAGAUCGAACAGCCCCUCAACAAGCUAGGCAUUGGAUUUGUGCUCGCGGCGCACUGCAGAUUUGGUUUCAAGCUUUUCUCGAUGAUUACCUUUGUUUGCUUGCUUGCACUUAGCAAUCCGUGUAAAAGAAAUGGACCAUUACUUGCACUUGGCCAUUCUCGUACCAUGCUUUUGCGAGGAAGAAGAAUUGCGUCUGCCCGGCAAUCAGCAGCUAAGAACAAUAGCAUCGCAUCUUCCAUUGGUCCCAAGCGUCUUCAAAAAACCAAGCAGCCAGCAUCGGCGAAUCCUCUCCAAUUUCUUCAUUUUCCCUUGGUUGAGCCCAGUUGCAGAUCACAAUCAUCAAAUCGAGUAGCAACAACCACAAGGGGCGGCGGCGGGCAGGAAGGGAAGAAGGGGCGGCGGCGGGUGGCUGGGGCCGCGACAGGCAGAAAAGGGUGCUGGGCAGGAAGGGGCAGCGUCAGGGGGCUUGGGCGGCAGGCGGGUGGCUGGGGUGUCGACAGGAAUGGGCAGCGGCGAGCAGAGUCUCGGCACGGAUAAGCCGUGAGGCCCCCCAAGGGCAUAAUGGUGAGGCUAAGUGGUUAAAUGUUGAACAAAAUGCAAAAUGGAUUGAAAAAUGUUGAAAAGGCAUUCUAGCUAUGUGACGUUGUUUCAUAAUGGCAAACUAGCGAAACCAAUUGCAGGAUGGCAUUCCAGCGAAACCCACUUCUGAUAAUGGCAAAAUUCCAAUUUUCUCGUGCUCUGGUGCCAAUGAGGGCCGGUGGCAUGUCCCGAUUCCUCAGGGAGGUGGCAGGCAAUGAUGUCCGCUGUGCUGGCUCUUUCCAAGGAUGGCUUGUGGGAGUGGUUCCUGUCAGGGAUCGUGGCGCGCAAUACAGAAAAUUCAAUGGCGAGUGCUUCAUGGUGAAUGCUUUCUCGCACAAGGUGGUGCGUUUGCCACAUCUGAGCAUUUUCAGUCACGGGCUUUCUGGUUACUCUCGUAAGGCUCUCCCCGUCAUCCCAGUCAACAAUGGCUUCAGUGAGGUCUACUUCACAACUGGUGACAGAUAGACAAUGUCGCUCCGCAAAGUGGUACUAUCUGCUUUACCUAACUCAGGUUCCAAGUGCUCGUGGUUGCUUCCUCGUACCACGGUAUUACGCACACACUUGCUCUCUGGCAACAUGGGAUGAACACUUGGCAUGUUUGCGAUGGCCUUCCAGUUGCUGGGCCCAAAGAUCUUGCCUUCUACCAGGGGAAGCUGUACGUGCUCUCGAGGUUCAUGCCACGCCUCUAUGCCUUUGAACUUGUUGACCAAUAUAGUAAAUAUGAGCGCGGUUAUUCCGACCCUUCUUAUGAUACGUUUGUGUACAACGUGAGAAAUGGUACGACAAGGCCUUUUGAUGUCGAGUUAUCACCAGGUAACUUUGGGGCACCAAACGGUAAGCUCGAUGUCCCGGUGUGGUAGUUAACAUCCAAAUGAACUGCAGCUGAGUAAAUGUGAUCUUAUCGGCUGUUUUGUGCUGCCGUUUGUUGUCUGGGUUCUGAAUACUAUCGUGCUGUCGUGUGGCAUCUCCAUUUCUAGGACAAUGAACUCUUUCGUCAAUGUUCCUGUAUAAAUGGUGAGGGAUGUCACAAUUGUAGGAGAGCUAUGGUUCUUCAAUGCUUAUAUGUCUCAGUUGUAGUGUUCUGUUUCUCUUC